UACGGGGGGGGCAAGCGUUGUUCGGAAUUACUGGGCGUAAAGGGCUCGUAGGUGGCCAACUAAGUCAGACGUGAAAUCCCUCAGCUUAACUGGGGAACUGCGUCUGAUACUGGAUGGCUUGAGUUUGGGAGAGGGAUGCGGAAUUCCAGGUGUAGCGGUGAAAUGCGUAGAUAUGUGGAGGAAUACCGAUGGCAAAGGCAGCCUCCUGGGCCAACACUGACGCUCAUGCACGAAAGCGUGGGGAGCAAACAGG
rnacentral:rRNA from 1 species